rnacentral:rRNA from 1 species
CUACGGGGGGCUGCAGUGGGGAAUAUUGCACAAUGGAGGAAACUCUGAUGCAGCAACGCCGCGUGGAGGAUGACGCAUUUCGGUGUGUAAACUCCUUUUAUAUGGGAAGAUAAUGACGGUACCAUAUGAAUAAGCACCGGCUAACUCCGUGCCAGCAGCCGCGGUAAUACGGAGGGUGCAAGCGUUACUCGGAAUCACUGGGCGUAAAGCGCGCGCAGGCGGCUAGAUAAGUUGGAAGUGAAAUCCUAUGGCUCAACCAUAGAACUGCUUCCAAAACUGUUUAGCUAGAGUCUGGGAGGGGAAGAUGGAAUUAGUAGUGUAGGGGUAAAAUCCGUAGAGAUUACUAGGAAUACCAAAAGCGAAGGCGAUCUUCUGGAACAGUACUGACGCUGAGGCGCGAAAGCGUGGGGAGCAAACAGGAUUAGAUACCCGAGUAGUC